rnacentral:rRNA from 1 species
GACGAACGCUGGCGGCGUGCUUAACACAUGCAAGUCGAACGGAAAGGCCCUGCUUUUGUGGGGUGCUCGAGUGGCGAACGGGUGAGUAACACGUGAGUAACCUGCCCUUGACUUUGGGAUAACUUCAGGAAACUGGGGCUAAUACCGGAUAGGAGCUCCUGCUGCAUGGUGGGGGUUGGAAAGUUUCGGCGGUUGGGGCUGGACUCGCGGCUUAUCAGCUGGUUGGUGGGGUAGUGGCUUACCAAGGCUUUGACGGGUAGCCGGCCUGAGAGGGUGACCGGCCACAUUAGGACUGAGAUACGGCCCAGACUCCUACGGGAGGCAGCAGUGGGGAAUAUUGCACAAUGGGCGGAAGCCUGAUGCAGCAACGCCGCGUGCGGGAUGACGGCCUUCGGGUUGUAAACCGCUUUCGCCUGUGACGAAGCGUGAGUGACGGUAAUGGGUAAAGAAGCACCGGCUAACUACGUG